CCUCAACGCAUACAGUUCUGUGCCAGUCGGUCAAAAGCAGGCCAAAAGCAUUUGGCGCAAGUCGUGUGCGGCAUCUCUUUAACAGUGGUCGUGCUUGUGGCCUCUUUUGCAGCAUUCGUCGCGAGACGUGCGGACAUUUGAGUUGAAAACUGAAGCGAAAAGAAACGAAACGCAGAGAAAAGAAAACGAAAUGAAUGCGAAAAGCGUAACGUGAAAAUCCUAGUACUUGGAGAGGCACGCACGUGUGUGCCUAGAAUUACAAAGCACUUGACUCGCAGCGUAAGUCAAAUGGUCAAAAAGGCAGGCCACAUCAAGCCGUUUUAAUUGCGUCUGGCUAAAAGGAUUUACAGCCUCCUCCACGCACACUCUCUCAACACUCUGUGUUCGUGUGCGUUUAAGCUCUUUAGUGCAUUGUGCGUGUGCGUGUGCGUUUAUGUGUGUUCCUGUGUGUGUGUUCGAGUGCGUGUCACAGACACGCUGAGUACCUGGCUCUCUUCGGCUUAGACCAGACACAAAACCUGCUGCGACAGACCUAAAAGCUGCUUACCACGGACCAAGCUCAUCAAUAGGCUUCAGCCACGCCCCCCGUUGAACGUCCCGUGCCGCGUGCUGUCUGCCACGUUAUGCUGCCAACUGCAAUUUGCCAGCGAUAGCAACACAAUUAUGACAAACAUUAUUAACUACAACAGCUGCAGCAAUAACAACAACAAUAA